rnacentral:piRNA from 1 species
UGCUCAUAUGCCUGGCGGACUCCUCUGGA